CGCGGCCUAUCAGCUUGUUGGUGGGGUGAUGGCCUACCAAGGCGACGACGGGUAGCCGGCCUGAGAGGGCGACCGGCCACACUGGGACUGAGACACGGCCCAGACUCCUACGGGAGGCAGCAGUGGGGAAUAUUGCGCAAUGGGCGGAAGCCUGACGCAGCGACGCCGCGUGAGGGAUGAAGGCCUUCGGGUUGUAAACCUCUUUCAGCACCGACGAAGCGUAAGUGACGGUAGGUGCAGAAGAAGCGCCGGCUAACUACGUGCCAGCAGCCGCGGUAAUACGUAGGGCGCAAGCGUUGUCCGGAAUUAUUGGGCGUAAAGAGCUCGUAGGCGGUUUGUCGCGUCUGUCGUGAAAGCUUGGGGCUUAACCCUAAGUCUGCGGUGGAUACGGGCAGACUAGAGGCAGGUAGGGGAGAACGGAAUUCCCGGUGUAGCGGUGAAAUGCGCAGAUAUCGGGAGGAACACCGGUGGCGAAGGCGGUUCUCUGGGCCUGUACUGACGCUGAGGAGCGAAAGCGUGGGGAGCGAACAGGAUUAGAUACCCUGGUAGUCCACGCCGUAAACGUUGGGCGCUAGGUGUGGGGUCCUUCCACGGAUUCCGCGCCGCAGCUAACGCAUUAAGCGCCCCGCCUGGGA
rnacentral:rRNA from 1 species